rnacentral:lncRNA from 1 species
UUCAAUCCAAAGAGGUAAGGGGUCUGAACCUUAUUAAACAAUGAUAUGUUGAAAUUGGUGAAAUAUUGGGUGAACGAAUUUGGGGUUUUUAGUCGAAGGAAUUCGUAGAAAUUAUAUGCAAUGAUGUUAGGAUGGUGAAAUCGAAUAGGAGACUAACUGUACUAGAUGAUAUGAGUGAGUUUAUGUGAAAAUUGGACUGUUUAAGGAUGAAUUUGGAUAGAUCUCGUAGCAGGGAAAGCCAUUGCAGAUCUGGAAACUUGGUCUCUGGUCAUACGCGUAUGGCACUAGGCAAUACGCGUAUGAGACUGAUGGUACGCGUAUGGCACUAGGCAAUACGCGUAUGGAUGAGGAAGAUGAUGUUUUGAACGUGGG